rnacentral:lncRNA from 1 species
AUUUUUUUUUAUAUAACAAAGGAUAGAAUAGUCCUUUAAAAUUGAUAUAAGGGGUAAAAUUGGAAGGAAUCAAAAGUUAAUGGCAUAACCGUAGAUAUGUUGAAGUGUUAGGGGUAAAAUGAGAAUUUAAUAAUAUUAAAAAAAGGGUGAAUAGUAUCUUGAUGUGAUUUAAUUGGAGGGUUUGAGCUGGCUUUUGGAAUGAAACCGAGAGAAAGAGGGAGGGGGUUCUCAGGCGUGAAACAGAGGAAAGAAAGAAAGAAAAAGAGAAGAAGAAGAAGAAGAAAGAAGAAGAGGAAGGGGAUUCAAAGAGGAAAGGGAUCCCGGUUGCACUUCCAGCUGAAGGGAAAAGUGUAGAUCUCCUUCCCCUCUACGCAAGGACCUCGAUUUCCAAAAAGAAAAAGGUAAAUAUCCAUUCCUAUCUAGUCUUUUGAUGACAUUAGGCUAUACAAAGGGUGGAUAUAGUCUAGAGGGGUCGGAUAAGGGUUGUAGAGGUGGUUAAAAGAAGAAGAAUCGGAUUUUGACAAAUUUUUCCGGCACUACGGAAAAACUGUGUCGAAGUCCCAACUUCGACGAAUUAUUUAGGGGGUCAAACGGCCUCCGAUGAUGAUGCAUGUUAUCUCUUUGGAAUCCUCUAUGAGUGUAGAAUG